UAUAAUCAGGAGACAGAAGGCAAGAUGAGUUCACUUGCUCUUCUGCUCUAACAUAAAACUUGUAAAGUGAGUCAAAAUGUCCUGUGUCCCACAGACCUGUGACUCCUCAAGAAAGCAGCCCCAAUUGUUCAAUCUCCUACAAUGCUAUAAUUGACCUCAAAGUCCAGGUCCUGUAUUUAUACACAGCAUUUGAUUCUAAAGUAGAAUUAUUACACUAGGUGGAAUUCAGUAAUACUGGGCCACACUUUAUCACACAUUAAACACAUGAAGAUUCACUCAUUUCAAGUGAAAGGAUUUUUUUUCAUUUUUCUAUAUCUCUAAGUGCAAAUGAUUCAAAUGUUUCUGCAACCCAUUUAAUGCUGUGGGGAAAAUAAAAAUAACAUACUAACAUAAUAACAUAACUAAAGCUAUGAUGAAGCUUAGCCCACAUUUUAUAAAGUAACAGUAGGAGCUUUCAGAGCUGAAUUUUUAAUUGGCAAGGCAUUAGUAAAUAGAAGCCAUGCUCCACUUCUUAUCCAUCAAUGGGCUGUAACCCUCCAUUCUAGUAUUCAGAAUAGGUGCAAGAGCCUUAACUUUGAAAAUAUUUACUAACAAGCAACACCUUCUAACUUGUCACCCUUCUGCAGAUGAACAUUUUGAGAGGAUAUUUGGCAUUAUUCAGACAAAAGGCCUGAAGAUGCAGAAGGAGGCAGGAUGGAAAGGAAAUUGCCAAAAGAGAGUGUCAGGUAUACAUGGCUCAGGAAGGACUCAGAGAUGCCUGGACACCCAAGAGAAAGCAAGUGUGUCUCAGAGAAACAGUAAGAUGACAACAGGACCCAAGAGGAGUCAUGAGAGGGCCAGAAAACCAAGAUUGCAAAAAAGAAAGCGUAUCCUAAUAUUUGAAGAAAGCAGUGAUGAUGAUGAAAAUAACUAACCUG